rnacentral:tRNA from 1 species
GGGGAAGAUGCAGAUAUUGGUUGUUCUGCGGCUGACUGUAAAUCAGUUCCCAUGUGGUAAACAAUGGAGGUUCAAUUCCUCUCUUCCCCA